ACGGAGAGCACCUGAUGGACCUGUCAUUAUUCACCAAUACAGACAAUAACACCACGUAUGAGAACAGGAAGGCCCCUUUAUUACGGAGAGAGUGAAAGAUGUACAACGUUGAAAUGGUUUUGACUAGAAGAGAGAAAUAAAGGUUGUGUUUGAUUAUGUCAUGUUAUUAUUCUAAUUUUAUUAUUAUUAAGUUUGUGAUUUUGUGUUUUCUGUCCCUGACAGUUCUGAUCAGAGACGCGUGAUUAAAGCCUUACCUCUGUAAAAGUUACACUGUUUAUUCCUCCGACCACGAAGAAGAAGAAGGCAUAACUAUCUUAUUCCUCCGACCACGAAGAAGAAGAAGGCAUAACUAUCUUAUUCCUCCGACCACGAAGAAGAAGGCAUAACUAUCUUAUUCCUCCGACCACGAAGAAGAAGGCAUAACUAUCUUAUUCCUCCGACCACGAAGAAGAAGGCAUAACUAACUUAUUCCUCCGACCACGAAGAAGAAGGCAUAACUAUCUUAUUCCUCCGACCACACUAGUAAAGGGCCCAGUGAAAUGCCUUGGUGCUGUAACUGUUAACCAUAAUCAAGAGAACAGAAGGUUUCCUGCUCAGAGGAAUAUAUCUGAAGGAAAAAAGACUUAGAGAAACCAAACAGAAAACAAUCUCCCACUAUCACAAUACAUAUGUAGUUAUCCCAUAACACAGGCCAGCCAUAGGUGAUGCUUCAGUCCUCAACUACCCCAGGAUCCAAUAUGUUGUUGUCCCAGAACACAGGCCAGCCAUAGGUGAUGCUUCAGUCCUCAACUACC
ensembl:lncRNA